CGCUGGCGGCGUGCCUAACACAUGCAAGUCGAGCGGGGACAUUGCGACGGAGACGAAGUACUCGUACGGAGUCAAAGAUGUAAUGUUCUAGCGGCGGACGGGUGAGUAACGCGUGAGCAACCUGUCCCUUACAGGGGGAUAACACAGCGAAAGUUGUACUAAUACCGCAUAAGACCACAGGAUGACAUCGUCCAGGGGUCAAAGGAGCAAUCCGGUAAGGGGUGGGCUCGCGUCCGAUUAGAUAGUUGGUGAGGUAACGGCCCACCAAGUCGACGAUCGGUAGCCGACCUGAGAGGGUGAUCGGCCACAUUGGGACUGAGACACGGCCCAAACUCCUACGGGAGGCAGCAGUGGGGAAUAUUGGGCAAUGGGGGGAAACCCUGACCCAGCAACGCCGCGUGAGGGAAGAAGGUUUUCGGAUCGUAAACCUCUGUCCCAGGUGAAGAGGAAGAGACGGUAGCCUGGGAGGAAGCCCCGGCUAACUACGUGCCAGCCGCCGC
rnacentral:rRNA from 1 species